GCACUCACUCUGGCAGCACUUGUAGUAAAACUGGACUGAUACAGAGACGAUGAGCACAGCCCCUGUACAAAGAUGGCAAACAAACUCCUGAAGCAUUCCAUUACAGU